UACGUAGGGGGCAAGCGUUGUCCGGAUUUAUUGGGCGUAAAGAGCGUGUAGGCGGCUUGGUAGGUCCGCUGUGAAAACUCGAGGCUCAACCUCGAGAUGUCGGCGGAAACCACUUGGCUAGAGUCCGGAAGAGGAGAGUGGAAUUCCUGGUGUAGCGGUGAAAUGCGCAGAUAUCAGGAAGAACACCUAUGGCGAAGGCAGCUCUCUGGGCCUUACCUGACGCUGAGGAGCGAAAGCGUGGGGAGCGAACAGG
rnacentral:rRNA from 1 species